CGGUAACAUUUCUAGCUUGCUAGAAGAUGACGAGCGGCGGACGGGUGAGUAAUGCUUGGGAAUAUGCCUUAUGGUGGGGGACAACAGUUGGAAACGACUGCUAAUACCGCAUAAUGUCUACGGACCAAAGGGGGGGAUCUUCGGACCUCUCGCCAUUUGAUUAACCCAAGUGAAAUUAGCUAGUUGGUGAGGUAAUGGCUCACCAAGGCGACGAUCUCUAGCUGGAUUGAAAGGAUGAUCAGCCACACUGUGACUGAGACACGGCCCACACUCCUACGGGAGGCAGGAGUGGGGAAUAUUGCACAAUGGGCGCAAGCCUGAUGCAGCCAUGCCGCGUGUGUGAAGAAGGCCUUCGGGUUGUAAAGCACUUUCAGUAAGGAGGAAAGGGAUGUAGUUAAUAACUGCAUUCUGUGACGUUACUUACAAAAGAAGCACCGGCUAACUUCCUGCCAGCAGCCGCGGUAAUACGAGGGGAGCAAGCGUUAAUCGGAAUUACUGGGCGUAAAGCGUUCGUAGGCGGUUGAUUAAGCAAGAUGUGAAAGCCCAUCGCUCAGCCCUGAAACGGCUCUUGAAACUGGAUCACUACAGGCCCAGAGAGGUGGACGGAAUUCCG
rnacentral:rRNA from 1 species